rnacentral:rRNA from 1 species
GACGAACGCUGGCGGCGUGCUUAACACAUGCAAGUCGUACGGUAAGGCCCUUUCGGGGGUACACGAGUGGCGAACGGGUGCGUAACACGUGAGUAACCUGCCCACAACUUUGGGAUAACGCUAGGAAACUGGUGCUAAUACUGGAUAUGUGCUCCUGCUGCAUGGUGGGGGUUGGAAAGCUCCGGCGGUUGUGGAUGGAUUCGCGGCCUAUCGGCUUGUUGGUGGGGUAGUGGCCUACCAAGGCGGCGACGGGUAGCCGGCCUGAGAGGGUGACCGGCCACAUUGGGACUGAGAUACGGCCCAGACGCCGACGGGAGGCAGCAGGGGGGAAUAUUGCACAAUGGGCGCAAGCCGGAUGCAGCAACGCCUCGUGCGGGAUGACGGCCUUCGGGUUGUAAACCGCUUUCAGCAGGGACGAAGCUUUUUGUGACGGUACCUGCAGAAGAAGCACCGGCUAACUACGUG